rnacentral:rRNA from 1 species
UACGUAGGGACCGAGCGUUGUCCGGAUUCAUUGGGCGUAAAGAGCUCGUAGGCGGCCACUCAAGUCGAAUGUGAAACCUCGAGGCUUAACCUCGAGCCUGCAUUCGAUACUGGGCGGCUAGAGUCUGGUAGGGGGAUCUGGAAUUCCUGGUGUAGCGGUGAAAUGCGCAGAUAUCAGGAGGAACACCGGUGGCGAAGGCGGCUCUCUGGGCCUGUCCUGACGCUGAGGCGCGAAAGCUGGGGGAGCGAACAGG